rnacentral:lncRNA from 1 species
CCCGAGUGAGGCAAUGCCUCUCCCUGCUUCGGCUCGUGCAUGGUGCGCGCACCCACUGACCUGCGCCCACUGUCUGGCACUCCCUAAUGAGAUGAACCCGGUACCUCAGAUGGAAAUGCAGAAAUCACCCGUCUUCUGCGUCGCUCAUGCUGGGAGCUGUAGACCGGAGCUGUUCCUAUUCGGCCAUCUUCAAGAUUCUUUGAAAAAGAGAGAGGAGUUGGCACAAGUCAAUAUGGGGACAAAGUUGAUGUCAUCUCACAGGGACACUUAUGGAAGCCUAUGAAAUGACCCAUGUGGUGAAGAACUGAAGACUUGGAUCAAGUCCAGCAAAGAAUUAAGGCCUCCCAACCAAGAUAUGUAUGAACUUGGAAGUGGAUCCUUCCUUAGUUGGCUCUUCAGAUGAGACUGUAGCCAUACUUGACAGUUUAACAGCAACCUCAGGAAAGACUUUCAGCCAGAAUGUUCCAGCUAAUCAGCCUCCAGAUCUCUAACCCACAGAAACUGUAAGAUAAUAAAUUGUUGUUUAAAUCUGCUAAGUUUUGGCAUAAUUUAUU